CUGAGGCAGCAGCCUCCCCACUCCAGGUCUCUGGGUCAGAGAUCCCGAUAGCCAGAGACGUUUGUGUGGCCUACUGUUCUGUGGCAGAGAUCUACUUCACUGACCUCUGUAUGGAGGACAGGGCAGGAGAUCAGUGUCGAGAGGCCAUAGAGAGAGUGCUGACCUAUCACCCUGACAACCCAGAGGCUCUACAGCUGAUGGCCAGCUACCUGUUCAAUACAGAGAUGAACCAGGAGGGGAGGGAGUGUGGAUGCGUGGCUACCUGCCCUGAAACAGUGACGCUCCACCCAGCAGAGAGGACAUAGAGGAGGAACACACACAGAGUGACAUCCCACCGUAUGAAUCUCGCAUCACCACGGCCAAACUCCUCAUAGAGGCAGAAGAGUACGAGACAGCAGUAGAUGUGUUGGAGGGUCUACUAGAGGAAGAUGACGAGGUUGUGCAGGUGAGUCAU